GAUGAACGCUGGCGGCGUGCCUAAUACAUGCAAGUCGAGCGAACAGACGAGGAGCUUGCUCCUCUGACGUUAGCGGCGGACGGGUGAGUAACACGUGGAUAACCUACUUAUAAGACUGGGAUAAUUUCGGGAAACCGGAGCCAAUACUGGAUAAUAUAUUGAACCGCAUGGUUCAAUAGUGAAAGACGGUUUUGCUGUCACUUAUAGCUGGAUCCGCGCCGCAUUAGCUAGUUGGUAAGGUAACGGCUUACCAAGGCAACGAUGCGUAGCCGACCUGAGAGGGUGAUCGGCCACACUGGAACUGAGACACGGUCCAGACUCCUACGGGAGGCAGCAGUAGGGAAUCUUCCGCAAUGGGCGGAAGCCUGACGGAGCAACGCCGCGUGAGUGAUGAAGGUCUUCGGAUCGUAAAACUCUGUUAUUAGGGAAGAACAAAUGUGUAAGUAACUAUGCACGUCUUGACGGUACCUAAUCAGAAAGCCACGGCUAACUACGUG
rnacentral:rRNA from 1 species